rnacentral:rRNA from 1 species
AACAAACGCUGGCGGCGUGCCUAAUACAUGCAAGUCGAACGGGGUAGCAAUACCUAGUGGCGCACGGGUGAGUAACGCGUGGAUAAUCUGCCUUAGAGUGGGGGAUAACUAGUCGAAAGAUUAGCUAAUACCGCAUAAGACCACAAGAACUGCGGUUCAAGGGGUCAAAGGUUUUUCGCUCUAAGAUGAGUCCGCGUAAGAUUAGCUAGUUGGUGAGGUAAUGGCUCACCAAGGCGACGAUCUUUAACUGGUCUGAGAAGAUGAUCAGUCACACUGGAACUGAGGCACGGUCCAGACGCCUACGGGAGGCAGCAGUAGGGAAUAUUGCACAAUGGAGGAAACUCUGAUGCAGCGACGCCGCGUGAGUGAUGAAGGCCUUCGGGUCGUAAAGCUCUGUCGCAGGGGAAUAACACAAUGAAGGUACCCUGUAAGAAAGGAUCGGCUAACUUCGUGCCAGCAGCCGCCGUAACAC